rnacentral:rRNA from 1 species
GACGAACGCUGGCGGCGUGCCUAAUACAUGCAAGUCGAACGAAGCUUUUUUAACUGGUGCUUGCACCGACUUAAACAACUGAGUGGCGAACGGGUGAGUAACACGUGGGUAACCUGCCCCAAAGCGGGGGAUAACAUUUGGAAACAGAUGCUAAUACCGCAUAACCACAGAAACCACAUGGUUUCUGUGUCAAAGAUGGUUUCGGCUAUCACUUUGGGAUGGACCCGCGGCGUAUUAGCUAGUUGGUAAGGUAAUGGCUUACCAAGGCAAUGAUACGUAGCCGAACUGAGAGGUUGAUCGGCCACAUUGGGACUGGGACACGGUCCAAACUCCUACGGGAGGCAGCAGUAGGGAAUCUUCCACAAUGGACGAAAGUCUGAUGGAGCAACGCCGCGUGAGUGAAGAAGGUUUUCGGAUCGUAAAACUCUGUUGUCAGAGAAGAACGUGUGCGAGAGUAACUGUUCGUGCAGUGACGGUAUCUGGCCAGAAAGCCACGGCUAACUACGUGCCAGCCGCCGCCGUAA